CGUAUCACCCAAGACAACUUUACGGAGUUGACGAUUGACGGAGCGAAGCGACGUCAAAGCGUUCAUUAAAGUCGAGUUGGCUUAGGGAUACGUUCGUUGGGUAGGGGAGCGUUCUGUAAGCCUGUGAAGGUGGCCUGUGAGGGUUGCUGGAGGUAUCAGAAGUGCGAAUGCUGACAUAAGUAACGAUAAAGCGGGUGAAAAGCCCGCUCGCCGGAAGACCAAGGGUUCCUGUCCAACGUUAAUCGGGGCAGGGUGAGUCGACCCCUAAGGCGAGGCCGAAAGGCGUAGUCGAUGGGAAACGGGUUAAUAUUCCCGUACUUGGUGUUACUGCGAAGGGGGGACGGAGAAGGCUAUGUUGGCCGGGCGACGGUUGUCCCGGUUUAAGCGUGUAGGUGUGUGUUCCAGGUAAAUCCGGUUCACUUUAACACUGAGGCGUGAUGACGAGGCACUACGGUGCUGAAGCAACAAAUGCCCUGCUUCCAGGAAAAGCCUCUAAGCAUCAGGUAACAUCAAAUCGUACCCCAAACCGACACAGGUGGUCAGGUAGAGAAUACCAAGGCGCUUGAGAGAACUCGGGUGAAGGAACUAGGCAAAAUGGUGCCGUAACUUCGGGAGAAGGCACGCUGACACGUAGGUGAAGUGAUUUACUCACGGAGCUGAAGUCAGUCGAAGAUACCAGCUGGCUGCAACUGUUUAUUAAAAACACAGCACUGUGCAAACACGAAAGUGGACGUAUACGGUGUGACGCCUGCCCGGUGCCGGAAGGUUAAUUGAUGGGGUCAGCGCAAGCGAAGCUCCUGAUCGAAGCCCCGGUAAACGGCGGCCGUAACUAUAACGGUCCUAAGGUAGCGAAAUUCCUUGUCGGGUAAGUUCCGACCUGCACGAAUGGCGUAAUGAUGGCCAGGCUGUCUCCACCCGAGACUCAGUGAAAUUGAACUCGCUGUGAAGAUGCAGUGUACCCGCGGCAAGACGGAAAGACCCCGUGAACCUUUACUAUAGCUUGACACUGAACAUUGAGCCUUGAUGUGUAGGAUAGGUGGGAGGCUUUGAAGUGUGGACGCCAGUCUGCAUGGAGCCGACCUUGAAAUACCACCCUUUAAUGUUUGAUGUUCUAACGUGGACCCGUGAUCCGGGUUGCGGACAGUGUCUGGUGGGUAGUUUGACUGGGGCGGUCUCCUCCUAAAGAGUAACGGAGGAGCACGAAGGUUGGCUAAUCCUGGUCGGACAUCAGGAGGUUAGUGCAAUGGCAUAAGCCAGCUUGACUGCGAGCGUGACGGCGCGAGCAGGUGCGAAAGCAGGUCAUAGUGAUCCGGUGGUUCUGAAUGGAAGGGCCAUCGCUCAACGGAUAAAAGGUACUCCGGGGAUAACAGGCUGAUACCGCCCAAGAGUUCAUAUCGACGGCGGUGUUUGGCACCUCGAUGUCGGCUCAUCACAUCCUGGGGCUGAAGUAGGUCCCAAGGGUAUGGCUGUUCGCCAUUUAAAGUGGUACGCGAGCUGGGUUUAGAACGUCGUGAGACAGUUCGGUCCCUAUCUGCCGUGGGCGCUGGAGAACUGAGGGGGGCUGCUCCUAGUACGAGAGGACCGGAGUGGACGCAUCACUGGUGUUCGGGUUGUCAUGCCAAUGGCACUGCCCGGUAGCUAAAUGCGGAAGAGAUAAGUGCUGAAAGCAUCUAAGCACGAAACUUGCCCCGAGAUGAGUUCUCCCUGAGACUUAGAGUCUCCUGAAGGAACGUUGAAGACGACGACGUUGAUAGGCCGGGUGUGUAAGCGCAGCGAUGCGUUGAGCUAACCGGUACUAAUGAACCGUGAGGCUUAACCUUACAACGCCGAA
rnacentral:rRNA from 1 species